rnacentral:rRNA from 1 species
UAGUGUGGUCUAAAUAACCUUAAGGCACCAGACCCAUUGGAUCUUGGAAGCUAAACAGGGUCAGCCCUGGUUAGUACUUGGAAGGGAGAUGGCCAAGGAAUAACAGGUGCUAUUUGGC